CGGGUGAGUAGCACGUGAGUGACCUGCCUUUUAGACUGGAACAACUUACCGAAAGGUGAGCUAAUGCCGGAUGAGUUAUAUAAGUGCAUGUUUAUAUAGGAAAAGUUGGGGAGACCUGACGCUGAAAGAUGGACUCGCGUCCCAUUAGCUAGUUGGUAGGGUAAUGGCCUACCAAGGCGACGAUGGGUAGCCGGCCUGAGAGGGUGGCCGGCCACACUGGGACUGAGACACGGCCCAGACUCCUACGGAAGGCAGCAG
rnacentral:rRNA from 1 species